GUGAAGUUCUCAUAGGUGGAGCCUUAAUUAUACAGGUGAAGUUCUCGUAGGUGGAGCCUUAAUUACACAGGUGAAGUUCUGAUAGGUGGAGCCUUAAUUACACAGGUGAAGUUCUCAUAGGUGGAGCCUUAAUUACACUGGUGAAGUUCUCGUAGGUGGAGCCUUAAUUACACAGGUGAAGUUCUCAUAGGUGGAGCCUUAAUUACACAGGUGAAGUUCAGAGACAGUUAUGUCAUCAUUUCUGAAUUUUCAUCUGCUUGUAUGUUGAUUAUGCUUUAUAGAAACGGGCCACAUGGGAAACGUUACCACAGACACAAGUUCAGAAAUGUGUAUGCAUCUGCUUCCUCAUCCUGCAGUCCACAUGUAUUUCGGACUACAUCAAUGCUUAAGGGACGCUGUUGAGUUGCAUUAUGGGAUGUGUAGGAUCCAGUGUAACGUGGCUUAAUUUAAGGUGAAGACCGCUUCGCCUUCAGAGCACCAAUUUUAAACUAUUUUAUUCAUCUGGCUCUUUAACCAUUGACUUAAAAAUGCAUAACAAAUUUCUUGAUUACUCCUUUUAUAUGAAUUUGAGUAUAGCAUUAUUUUGUGGUGUUUAAUAUAAUGGUUUCUCUAGUCACUGUUGGGGGGGCUGUGCCAC
ensembl:lncRNA